UACGAAGGGUACAAGCGUUGUUCGGAAUUACUGGGCGUAAAGCGCGCGUAGGCGGACGCGUAAGUCCGUUGUGAAAGCCCCGAGCUCAACUUGGGAAUUGCAGUGGAUACUGGCAGGCUGGAGUACGGUAGAGGAAGGUGGAAUUCCCGGUGUAGCAGUGAAAUGCGUAGAUAUCGGGAGGAACACCAGUGGCGAAGGCGGCCUUCUGGACCAGUACUGACGCUCAUGCACGAAAGCGUGGGGAGCAAACAGG
rnacentral:rRNA from 1 species